rnacentral:sRNA from 1 species
UGUUGUUCUUCUUCUU